AGUUUUGAAUCUGGUUGAUUGAUUUUGAGAGAAUGUGAGUUGAAAGUUUAAGAAAUGUUUAGAGUGUUUUUUUUAGAAGUGAGGAGGGAGAAUGAUUCUGGCAUAUUUUAGAACAAAUACUGUCCGAAGAUGCAUCUCUGCAAUAUUUACAAAAAUGUUUCUCUGUUAUUUUUUUAACGUUAAGUCAUAACUCUAUUGACU
rnacentral:lncRNA from 1 species